GUGCCAGCAGCCGCGGUAAUACGUAGGUGACAAGCGUUGUCCGGAUUUACUGGGUGUAAAGGGCGUGCAGGCGGGAUAGCAAGUCAGUCGUGAAAUGCCGAGGCUUAACCUCGGAGCUGCGAUUGAAACUGUUAUUCUUGAGUAUCGGAGAGGAAAGCGGAAUUCCCAGUGUAGCGGUGAAAUGCGUAGAUAUUGGGAGGAACACCAGUGGCGAAGGCGGCUUUCUGGACGACAACUGACGCUGAGACGCGAAAGUGUGGGGAGCAAACAGGAUUAGAUACCCUGGUAGUCCACACCGUAAACGAUGGAUACUAGGUGUUGGAGGUAUCGACUCCUUCAGUGCCGCAGUAAACACAAUAAGUAUCCCACCUGGGGAGUACGACCGCAAGGUUGAAACUUAAAGGAAUUGACGG
rnacentral:rRNA from 1 species